GACGAACGCUGGCGGCGUGCUUAACACAUGCAAGUCGAACGAUGACGACCGAGCUUGCUCGGUCUGAUUGGUGGCGAACGGGUGAGUAACACGUGAGCAACCUGCCCUUCACUCUGGGAUAACCUCGGGAAAUCGGGGCUAAUACCGGAUAUGAGCUCCUGUCGCAUGGCGGGUGUUGGAAAGUUUUUCGGUGAAGGAUGGGCUCGCGGCCUAUCAGUUUGUUGGUGAGGUAGUGGCUCACCAAGGCGAUGACGGGUAGCCGGCCUGAGAGGGCGACCGGCCACACUGGGACUGAGACACGGCCCAGACUCCUACGGGAGGCAGCAGUGGGGAAUAUUGCACAAUGGGCGAAAGCCUGAUGCAGCGACGCCGCGUGAGGGAUGACGGCCUUCGGGUUGUAAACCUCUUUCAGCAGGGAAGAAGCGAAAGUGACGGUACCUGCAGAAGAAGCGCCGGCUAACUACGUG
rnacentral:rRNA from 1 species